AUGAGCCUGCCAGCUCAUCCUUGGCCCUAUGCCUUUUGGCCAGCUCGUCCGGACUUGGCUUUGACCGGUCUGCCCCCCUCUUGCAAGGAUUCGGCGCCUCCACUUGAUGCUUUACGCCCACGCUUCGUUCAGGCAGCGCUACUCAAAUAUGUCUUGCCUUUUUUUCGCCAAAGCUGUGCUACUUCCAGGAUUUGUUUCGGCCAAGCUCGGGAACCUUCCCUUUAG
rnacentral:lncRNA from 1 species